CCAGGGGUACCGAAGUGGUCAAACGGGGCAGACUGUAAAUCUGCUGGCGCAAGCCUUCGCGGGUUCAAAUCCUGCCCCCUGGA
rnacentral:tRNA from 1 species